rnacentral:lncRNA from 1 species
GAUGGGAAGCCUGUUCUUGUUUAUCGGUUUGUACGGAACUUCACCCGCGGUAGAGUACGGCCUGAGAAUUUUGUUCCAGCACCGGUGUGAGGUUUGGAGUGCAUAAUGAGGAGAAAUAAAAACAGAAAGAUCUCCAGAAAGAAGCCAUGGUAAGAUUCAAGGUUUCACAGUCCAAGCUAAUGCCUGUGGACACUUGACCAAGUGAUCUGAGAAAAUUGGAUUUCUGGCAAAACAAGUGUACCUAGACUCAGGCAAGGGUGGAGAACAGAGGGCGACUAGAUUAAAUGGAAAGAAUGCCCAGGCAUCCCAUUGCCUCCCUUUGACGUUCCAGAACUUCAUCAAGACAGUGAUGAGCUACAUGUACACCUGGAGGAGGACCAUGCAGAAUACCAUCCAGCGCCAUGAACACUAGUCAGUCAGUCAGUAAUGGUGGGCUUCUUGGUGUGCUCCAGCUCAAUUUUCUCAUGUUUGAUGAUUAGUUCAGGAUCAAGCUCAGAAGCGCACAGCUGCCAGCAAGCAGUCUACUACUGAACUGCACCAUCUCUCCAGCCUGUGCUUACUCUUGAAUAGCCCCAAAGUAGUCAAUGGUGUGGGCCCUGAAAGGAACUGUAUACCUGCUCUGCCCAUGACUGCUUCUGCCUCUACCUCAAUGUACUGUAACUGUUUAACAAGGUUGCUCUGGCUCAGGCUGAGAAAUUGACUCCACCCUUACCCUGACGCCUGGCAUGUCCACAUGUGGUCCUGUGUAGUCAGCAACCCCAGGGCUAUUUGGUACUGGACAACCAAUUGGAGUGUUGUUUGCGGGGGAGGACCACCUCUCCAGGUAGAAUCUAAACAUCAGAAAAUCAACAACCCAGUUAAAAUAAUCUAGAGCACUAACCAGAGCGUUCUCAGAAGAAGCACUACAAACGGCUAAGAAACACGAGACUGCUCAACAUCCUUUGCCAUCAGGGAAACACAGAAGCUCACUUUUCAGUUUUCAUCUUUCUGGAGUCAGAAUGGUUAUCGUCAAGAAUGCCAGUGACAUGGAUGUAGAGGACGGAUUCCUUCAUUGUCUAAGUCUCUGGAAAUAGUGCAGAAGAGUAGUCAGGGACUAAAAGAUGGAAGACAGAAAGGGCUGCAAAGUUCCAUCCUAGAGACUCAAUACAGCCAUUGCAAUGAUGAACUCACAAAAACUGCAUUUACCUGAACUUAGCCUGCUCAAGACAUUGAAAGUGUUUCAAAGUAGCUUUUCCUGUUGUGAAUGUACCUCUCAGCUAGUCUGGUUUCUGGUUCAGAGCUCUUAGGCACAGAGUUGUCUUGAACAUUUGCUUACAGGCACUUGUGUAGAUAUCAGCUGCUUUUUUUUGUUAAAUCUCUGAAAUAAAUGCCUAGGCGUUCAAUGGCAAUGUUAUAUCAGUAUGUAUUUAGCUUAGUUUUAAAAUAAGAAACUGUCAAAUACUUUUGUAGAAUUACUGGACCAUUUUACACCCCUGCCAACAAAGUAAGAUUGAUCCAGCUCCCCACAUUCUCAUAAACAUUUGUUUUUGUUUCUUUAAGAAGACAAGUUAACCAUUCCAUUUAUUGAGAAUUUACUUACCAUUCAGUGCAUUGCUUAGAUAUGUAGUAUUCAGUUUUUAGUACACAUACAAGGUUGUGUAUCGAUUACUACUAAUUCCAGAACAUUUCCAUUACCAUAGAAAAAGAAACCCAAUAUUCAUUUUCAUCUCUCCUCUAUGGACUUACCUAAUCUAGAUAUACCAAAUAAAUGGAAUUUUUAUAAAAUAUGA